ACUCAAAGGAAUAGACGGGGGCCCGCACAAGCAGCGGAGCAUGUCGUUUAAUUCGAAGCAACGCGAAGAACCUUACCAGGGCUUGACAUCCUCUGAAUUCCGCGGAAACGCGGGAGUGCCGCAAGGAACAGAGAGACAGGUGGUGCAUGGUUGUCGUCAGCUCGUGUCGUGAGAUGUUGGGUUAAGUCCCGCAACGAGCGCAACCCUUAUGAUCAGUUACCAGCGGGUAAAGCCGGGGACUCUGGUCAGACUGCCGGGGAUAACUCGGAGGAAGGUGGGGACGAUGUCAAAUCAUCAUGCUCCUUAUGUCCUGGGCUACACACGUGCUACAAUGGCCGCCACAAAGGGAUGCGAGGUCGUAAGGCCAAGCGAAACCGAAAAAAGCGGUCUCAGUUCGGAUUGAGGGCUGCAACCCGCCCUCAUGAAGUCGGAGUUGCUAGUAAUCGCGAAUCAGCAUGUCGCGGUGAAUACGUUCCCGGGCCUUGUACACACCGCCCGU
rnacentral:rRNA from 1 species